rnacentral:tRNA from 1 species
GAAGAGAUGCGGCUCAGUGGUAGAGUAUAUGCUUGCCAUGCAAAAGGCCCCAGAUUCAAUCUGUGGUUCCUUCA